rnacentral:rRNA from 1 species
AUUGAACGCUGGCGGCAGGCCUAACACAUGACAGUCGAGCGAGCGGCGGACGGGUGUGUAAAGUCUGGGCACCUGCCUGUGGGAGGGGGAUCACCACGGGACACGGUAGCUAAUACCGCAGACCAUCAGAUGUGGCCCGCUGGGAUUAGCUCGUAGGUGGGGUAACGUCUCACCUAGGCGACGAUCCCUAGCUGGUCUGAGAGGAUGACCAGCCACACUGGAACUGAGAAAGGGUCAGGAAUCCUACGGAAGGCAGCAGUGGGGAAUAUUGCACAAUGGGAGCAAGCCUGAUGCAGCCAUGCCGCGUGUGUGAAGAAGGCCUUCGGGUUGUAAAGCACUUUCAGCGGGGAGGCGUUACCCGCAGAAGAAGCACCGGCUAACUACGUGCCAGCAGCCGCGGUAAUUC